UUGUGGAGGAGGACGCCGAAGGUGGGGCUAAUGACUGGGGUGAAGUCGUAACAAGGUAGCCGUACCGGAAGGUGCGGCUGGAUCACCUCCUAACAGGGAGACAACAAAAUGUUUAAUAUUAUUAUUUUGUCACCUUAGGUCGAUCGGUAUCUCACAUUCUUAAUUUAUUAAGGAUUUUAUUUCCUAAGUUUUUUCUAGGUCACACCCAUUACUUUUCCUGGGCCAUUAGCUCAGGUGGUUAGAGCGCACCCCUGAUAAGGGUGAGGUCCCUGGUUCAAGUCCAGGAUGGCCCAUAUCUCUAUGUUGGGGGUAUAGCUCAGUUGGUAGAGCGCCUGCUUUGCAAGCAGGAUGUCAGCGGUUCGAGUCCGCUUACCUCCACUGAUUACCACCUCUUCCAUAAUUAUUUAGGGAAAUGUUUUGAGUUGUGAUCAAAUUCUGAAAGAAUCUAGCUUCCUAAUGAAUUCAUUAAGAUGCUGGACUCAUUGAAUUAAUUUCAUUGUUUUCAGAGAACCUUGACAACUGCAUAGAUUAUUUUUAAAGACAAUAAGCAUCUUUAUGAUGCAGAUUUAUUAUUUGUGCGAAUGCAUUAAUAACAAUUCUAUUAAGCUGAUGCUUCAAUUAUGAAGUUAUUGGUCAAGCUACAA
rnacentral:misc_RNA from 1 species